rnacentral:rRNA from 1 species
AACGAACGCUGGCGGCAUGCCUAACACAUGCAAGUCGAACGAGACCUUCGGGUCUAGUGGCGCACGGGUGCGUAACGCGUGGGAACCUGCCCUUAGGUUCGGAAUAACUCCCCGAAGGGGGUGCUAAUACCGGAUAAUGUCUUCGGACCAAAGAUUUAUCGCCUUUGGAUGGGCCCGCGUUGGAUUAGCUAGUUGGUAGGGUAAAAGCCUACCAAGGCGACGAUCCAUAGCUGGUCUGAGAGGAUGAUCAGCCACACUGGGACUGAGACACGGCCCAGACUCCUACGGGAGGCAGCAGUGGGGAAUAUUGGACAAUGGGCGAAAGCCUGAGCCAGCAAUGCCGCGUGAGUGAUGAAGGCCUUAGGGUUGUAAAGCUCUUUUACCCGGGAUGAUAAUGACAGUACCGGGAGAAUAAGCGCCGGCUAACUCCGUG